CCUACGGGAGGCAGCAGUGGGGAAUAUUGGGCAAUGGGCGCAAGCCUGACCCAGCAACGCCGCGUGAAGGAAGAAGGCUUUCGGGUUGUAAACUUCUUUUGUCAGGGACGAAGCAAGUGACGGUACCUGACGAAUAAGCCACGGCUAACUACGUGCCAGCAGCCGCGGUAAUACGUAGGUGGCAAGCGUUAUCCGGAUUUACUGGGGGUAAAGGGCGUGUAGGCGGGGAAGCAAGUCAGAUGUGAAAACCACGGGCUCAACCUGUGGCCUGCAUUUGAAACUGUUUUUCGUGAGUACUGGAGAGGCAGACGGAAUUCCUAGUGUAGCGGUGAAAUGCGUAGAUAUUAGGAGGAACACCAGUGGCGAAGGCGGUCUGCUGGACAGCAACUGACGCUGAGGCGCGAAAGCGUGGGGAGCAAACAGGAUUAGAUACCCUAGUAGUC
rnacentral:rRNA from 1 species